AGCAUUCCGGAUAUCUCUGUAUGUGAUGGUGAGGGAAGUGUGGUGGCUUCUAGGGGCUUUCCUCGCAGCCCGUAAGGUUUUCUGAUGGUCUGUUUUGUUUUGCUUCACUUUCCAAUGUGUUUGCGUUGUCUGAAGGCAGGCUUACUGAUGACCUGCGUUGAAUUUGUUUAUUUUUGUGCCUGCAGGUUUAUGUCAACCUUCAGUAUUUUCUCCAGUGGUGAAGGUUGAGGACCAUUGGUAACUUCCAGAUGCAAAGUCUGGAAAGGGGAGAAAGGGAAGAAGGGAAGAGUUUUCUAGCUGGUGCUCACAGGGAGCCCUGCCCUUCCCAAUUAAUUCUGGAAGCCUUCAGGGUGAAGGGUGAUUCUUUGGAAAUGUUAGUAGCCAUCCAGCAGCAGUCUCUGUGUGCACCAAAGGCACGCUUCUAAUGGAAAAAAAAAAAAAAAAUAUGUAUUAAAAUGCAUGGUCAGAUUGCUGCUGUUGAAUGAAGGAGUUAUCUAUAAUGAGACAGUUGUGAAACCCUCUUAAGUUUUUGCACUUGCAACCUCCUGCGCUGGCCAGUGGUGUCCUUUAAACAGGGAAGAUGUGCUUAAAUCUAAAACUGAUGGAUUUGUUUCUGAAGACGGAAAGAAAUAGAAUUGUUUGGGACAGUGCAAUAGGCCUUCAUCCACUUGCUGCCCAAACUUGAUUGUUGGCGUCUACUGGAAAAAGGUGAAAUGAAGUAGGAAGUUGCAGUGUUUCUGUGAAAGUGAAGAAUCCUCCUUGAAAGAGUGGGGUGAAGGCAAUGCUACGUCAGCGUGAAAUGAGGGAGUGAUGUUGUCAUUAAAGUGAAAGCAUAGGGUAUCAUUAAGCAGAAUAAAUGUAAAAUCUGGUUUCAGAUGAAUUCCUUUUGCACCUGUUCUCUCACUUCUGUCAAUAGUUGGGAAUUGGGAUUUAAUUAAUCUGUUAAACGUUGUUUCUUGUCUUGUGAUGCAAGCAAAGCCCGAUAGAAGACAGGGCAGAAAACGAAGCUAGCAGGGUGCACCAAAUGUGGUCAGCUGAGAGGCAGGCAGCCUGAGCCUCUUUGUUAAACAUUUUCUUUACACGUUCGGUCUCUGAACAAGUGUGGAUGCGUUAAUAUAAAUCCCAAAGAAUGCUUCAGGUGGAUUCAUGGUAGAAGUCACUGAGUUGAGGGCAUCCAGCCUCCGGCUGGGUGGGAGUAGCUGAAGUGAGGAUAAUGGGUUUGGAAACGUGGUUAUUUUUCCUAUACUCAGCUCACCAUUGGUAAGCACUGGGUUUCAGGAAUAUCUUCUGCAGGGGUGUGUGGUUGUUGACUGCAAGCAAGCUGAAAAUGAGCUGUGGGACGCUUGUGCUCUUUGCCUGGUGUGCUCAAGCAGUGCCUCAGCUUGCUUGUGUUCAGCGAUGGGGACGGUUGGUCCUUCCUUGGCUGGUUAAAGAACCGUGAAAACACACGGUGUAGUUUGCUGCGAGCCCGGUGGCUCUGAGCAAACACACUUGGUGUGCGUUACUACACCGUUAGCAGUGGAGCAUGGCAAAUAAACACCUAUUAAGACGGGAAAGGAAUGUGCGUCGGCUCACUGGGAGCACAGCACGACCAGGGUCUCACUUGAAGCUUUUCAUGCAGGAGCGCUGCUUCUACCACCUUCUAAAAACCCUGCCUUACAGAUGCAUCUUCAUUAAGAUGUUUGCUUUGCUUACAGCUAAGGGCUGCUUCCAGCUGUUCUUUUUGCAAUUCUCCCUUUACUGUUUGAGUGUCCCAGCUUGCAGUAGGGGAUUUCAUGAGGUGCUGACUGCAGUACCGGGACGAGGAACAGCCUCACUGUGAUGGAGAGAGCAGGGCAGGGAGGCUUUGCACGUGUCGUGGCCAUCUCCAUCCUCUGCAGAAGCAGAGUGGUGCAGCAGCGUGGCUGCUCUUGAGGUGCUCCUGGUGCUAUUCCACGUGUUGGGAAUUGCAUGCAGAGCAGGUGGGCUUGACAUGGCUGAGUCGGGAUGCUUUUGGAACCCGGAGUCGUGGGAUUUGUGCUAAAUGGCAUCGCAUUUGGGAAUAAGGCGAUGCUUUGCUUCAGAGCUGCAGGUUGCUGUGUUCCUUGUGUCCCGAUUUUCUGGAACAAAGGUGUGACUAAAGAAGGAAACGAUGAUUUUUUCCCCCCUGCUUUGUAAGCCGUAUCACAGGAAUGCUUUCUGGCACCCAUUGUUCUUCAGGCAGUUUUUUUGAAGGGCUUUCUCCUGCUUGGCUUUGAGUGUGUGCAGCUUGCCCAGCUCGGCAGGCUUGGUUUGUAUAAAAGAUCUCAUGUUUUAAUGUCUGCUUGCGUAUCAAUAUUUCAAAUUAUUUACGAUGCUCUCAGAAAUAAAAAGGAGGUGUUUCCCUUCAAUUGACUCGACUCAGACAGCUUUGCUGGCGUCUCGUUUCCAGCGCCUGAGCGAUCAUCCUGGAAAUAAAAUCCCAGCUCCGGAGAAGCACUGAGCAGCGUGGGCACUGCUGCCUUGUCCCCGCACCGCGCACGGCCUUCUAUUGUUCCUGGCUGUGGCCUGUGCAAAGCGCUGAAAAUAGCCUGCUCCCGUCUGCCUUCAUGCCGCACAGCGUUCUAUCGUGUCCUCUUUGUGUCUUUGCCUGCUGAAUACCUAGCCUGGGCUUACAUCCGCAGCCAAGGAGCUGCGGGCGCACACAGAGGAGAGGCUGGAGCUGACUUUUGCAGGCUGGAGGGGCAGGCACUGCGGCGGGGAGCGUGGCUGAGCAGCAGCACCGCGGUGCUCACGGUGCUGCCUGAGUCGGAAAGUGCCCGCUCAGCGCAGAGCCUUUGCUGGGGAACUUCUUUCAACUGGGAUUUUUUUUUUUUUAACGAGACCCUAAAAUGGAGGGGACUUGGUGAGGGAGACGGCGUUAUGCGAGCGUGCCGGGGGAGUGAGCACGUUCUGGCUGAUCUGGGAAUAGCGUGGAAGGGAAAAGGAUUUGUGGAGGAGGGUAUUAAUGCAUCUCCCUCUGCAGAGGGAGGCUGGAGGUGCAGUGUGGAAGCAAACAGCAAUAAUCAUAUUGAUAAAACAGUGAUGAUUUGGAGGGAUGAGUAAAGUGAAGGAUGAUGAGGGAGACCAGUGGGAAGCACAGUUUUGUUUUAUUUAGCAAAACAACAUGCAGAUAUGCGAGAAGCAUGUUUGAUUUUUUUUGUUUCUUUGUCUAGCUUGCAAGCAGUGCAGGAAACCAAAGCUGGAGGUGGUUUGGAUCUCUCCAAUGUUAGGAAGGCAGCAGAGGAAAGAGGUUUGGCUGCUGUAAUCCCAUGCUGACCAAGAGGAAGAGGGAUUUUCUUUAGGACACCUGGCUAAGUGACAGGUGACAUCCUGGACAGGUGAAUCUCAAAUUGGGAAUUCUUUAGAUUUCAGCCAACUGCAUGAGGAGCAGAGGUGAACUUAGCUUUUGUGGGUUUGUGCCCUGAAUCCCAAACUUAAUAAACCCAAUUCUCCUACGUAUCCCUAACUAUUUAGUGAAUAUCCAACCUUAGAAUCAUAGAAUUGCUCAGGUUGGAAAAGACCUUCAAGAUCAUAAAAUUCAACUGCAGCCUAACCAUCCUACCCUAACUCUAACAACCCACUGCUAAAUCAUGUCCCUGAGCACCACAUCCAGAUGGCUUUUAAACACAUCCAGGGAUAGUGAUUCAGCCACCUCCCUGGGGAGCUUGUUCCAGUGCUUAACAACCCUUUCUGUAAAGAAGUUCUUCCUGAUAUCCAACCUAAACCUCCCCUGAUGCGACUUGAGUCCAUUUUUCCUCGUCCUGUCACCAGUGAGAAGAGACCAACCCCACUCUUGCUGCAGUCACCUUUCAGGUAUUUGAAGAAAGCAGUAACGUCUCCCCUCAGCCUCCUCUUCCCUAGACUUAACAGCCCAAGUUCCUUCAGUCUCUCUCACAGGGCAUGCACACCAGUGACAUUUCUGCUUUUCAGUACUCCAACAUGAUUAAAACCUGGUUAGCUUUAAAACCUGUAAAACCCUGUACAGAACAGUGUGUGGAGUACUUCCUUCUUUGACAAGGCUGUGUUGGGUGUAGAUAAAGCAUAGUCAAUUAAAAUUGAAAGAAAAGGGGCUUUAGGUGCUGCCCCCGAGAUCUCAUCCAGCUCUUAGAACUUAACAUUUCUCCAUUGUCCUGAUUGUGUUAAAAGACAGCAGCAAAGCAUCUUGAGUGCUGUAUGCAGAGUAUUUCUGUACUGUUUCAGUAGUGUGAUAGGUGCUGCUGAAAGAAUUGGAGAAGCAGGUGAGUUAUCUGGCUCUUGGCUCCUGCUUGCUUAUACCUCAGGAAGUGCUGCAGUGCCUCAAGGCUCUUCUCCCACCCAAGGCAAAAGGAUACCUGAAAGGUUACCCUGAGCAGAAAGUUAUGGGGUUUGUUGCUCUCUUACUUUGCUGCCCCCUAAGCACACUGUGUGGACCAUCACAGGGAACUCAUGGGACUUUUACAUCCAUGGGGCUCCGAAAAGCUUCUCUGCUCUUUCCUCCAAAGUUGUAUGAAGACAGAGACAAAAUUUGCACUUGGUUUCUGUUCAGAAUAAAUGAGUUUUCCCCUGUUAAUAGGAAUUUCCCUUUAAUUGAGAGCUUAAAUUCUCUAGCAGCCAGAACUGCCUUGCUUUCCAGAGAGAGGUGUAUUUCUGCCUGUUAAUACAGCCGUUAAAUAAAAUGUUUAUCUUGGUUAUUGGAAUGAGUAGAGAGGUUCUCACUUUGGAGCUCUAAACCCAAUUGCUAUCUGUCAUUUUAGUUUAAAGAGUGCUGCUAGCUUGCUCAGAUUUAAAAAUAUUUUACUGUGACAAAUAGCUGAAGCAGAAGCUGAAAUCCUGGUAUCUGGGGAUAUCCUGCUUGGGUAUAUUGUAUCCUUGUGUAUUGUAACUGUAGGCUGAGGCUGAAGCUCCUCAGCUCAAAGCUCUUUGCAGCUGUCGUCCAGCAUCAGAUCAGAUCCUCUUUGGAUCCAAUCUCUGGAUAUUUGGACUGCCAGCAGCAAAACUGGCUCCGGUAGUCUUGGGCUCUGGGACAACGUGGUGGUGCAGAGUGGGGGGGCUUUGCAGUGCGUGCUUUUUUAUCAGCUGCUUACCCAUCUGUGUCUGUGUGUACUGUGGGUAAGCCAAGCCUGCAGCAUGCAGCUUUCUUCUCUCUUCCAGCAGCUCCUGGAAACUUUCUGCCGGUUCUUCCGCCGUUCAGUCGGUAGCUGAGAGCGUCUCCCGCUGCCGCUCUGGCUCAGUGUCAGCUGGCAGCUCCUCCAGCUGCAGGCAUCUCUCUCCGGUCAGAUUUACAGCAAUCCAGUUGAGGAUUUUGUCUGCUGGAGGCUGUAGCCCUGAACCGCUCUUGUCUUCUACCCUGGUGCUCUCGUGCAGGCAGCUUAGAUGUAGGAGGGUGUUUCUUUUCCCUAACCCUCUGCCCCAUGUGUUGGGCACCUCGGUGUGUUCUGGUCUUGCAGCUCAGCCAGCAUUCUGACAUGCCAACGCUGAAGAUCAAGGAGCAAUGCUGUUCAGCUUCUCCAUUUGCCAGUGCUCAGAGUUCAUCAGAAGUUUUGUUCUUUUCUGCACUGUACUCUCCUUGAAGCCAGAACUGGAGGAGGCACAGGGUGUCUGUGAAAUGCCAAGGUGUUCGUUUGUGAAGAGCACAUUGUAUAGCACUUAAAGGGUUUUGACCCAUCUAACACGUUUGGAUAUUUUGAAGACACAGCCUGACUUCACGGGACCUUCCUGAAAAUCCAGUUGGAGGCACCUAUGAUGCUUCCAUAAAACUAAGAUGAACUGCUUAAAAGCUUUGUGGUUCCAAAGAGGACAUCUUAAUUACACUUUUUUUUUGCCAGCAGUCAGAUGUCAGCUCGUCCUCCGGAGCUCAAAUUUGCUUAAUGGUGACCUGCUCUGGUCUGAAAAUUGAAGUCUUCAAGGACCUGAAGUUGGUGGCUUCCCCUUGGGAUGAAACGGUGCCUCUGUUCAAGGCAAAUGCUGAAAUAGGCCCUUCUUAUGGCCGGGAGGCUGCAAGCAAAAUGUCUGGUGUGAAAGGAAUUGGGCAUAACAUAGCUGUGCAAAAUCCGAUGGAACUUGAAAAGUACUCCACUGUCAUUAAAUGGCUCACCCUACUGAGAGCACCUUACUGUACCUAUUGCUCUGAAAGCAGGUGUGUUUAAUCACUCC
ensembl:lncRNA